UACGUAGGGAGCAAGCGUUGUCCGGAUUUAUUGGGCGUAAAGAGCGCGUAGGCGGCUCGGUAAGCCGGAUGUGAAACCUCCAAGCUCAACUUGGAGCGGCCAUUCGGAACUGCUGUGGCUAGAGUCUGGUAGGGGAACACGGAAUUCCUGGUGUAGCGGUGAAAUGCUUAGAUAUCAGGAGGAACACCAGUGGCGAAGGCGGUGUUCUGGGCCAGUACUGACGCUGAGGCGCGAAAGCGUGGGGAGCGAACGGG
rnacentral:rRNA from 1 species